rnacentral:tRNA from 1 species
UGCGGGGUCGUCUAACGGUAGGACGGAUGCCUCUGGAGCAUCUAAUCUUGGUUCGAAUCCAAGCCCCGCAGCUA